rnacentral:rRNA from 1 species
GUCAUGGCCAGGAUGAACGCUAGCUACAGGCUUAACACAUGCAAGUCGAGGGGCAGCAUGACCUAGCAAUAGGUUGAUGGCGACCGGCGCACGGGUGAGUAACACGUAUCCAACCUACCGGUUAUUCCGGGAUAGCCUUUCGAAAGAAAGAUUAAUACCGGAUAGUAUAACGAGAAGGCAUCUUCUUGUUAUUAAAGAAUUUCGAUAACCGAUGGGGAUGCGUUCCAUUAGUUUGUUGGCGGGGUAACGGCCCACCAAG